GUCUGUGGCCAUAACAUCCUGAACACACCCAAUCUCAUAUGAUCUUGGAAGCUAAGCAGAAUCGGGCCAGGUGAGUACUUGGAUAGGAGAAGUUAAAAAGGACAAUAAAACAAACU
ensembl:rRNA 5S_rRNA 5S ribosomal RNA